AUUGAACGCUGGCGGCAUGCCUUACACAUGCAAGUCGAACGGCAGCACGGGGCAACCUGGUGGCGAGUGGCGAACGGGUGAGUAAUGCAUCGGAACGUGCCAUUGAGUGGGGGAUAACGUAGCGAAAGUUGCGCUAAUACCGCAUAUUCUGUGAGCAGGAAAGCAGGGGGACCGCAAGGCCUUGCGUUCUGGGAGCGGCCGAUGUCGGAUUAGCUAGUUGGUGGGGUAAAAGCCUACCAAGGCGACGAUCCGUAGCGGGUCUGAGAGGAUGAUCCGCCACACUGGGACUGAGACACGGCCCAGACUCCUACGGGAGGCAGCAGUGGGGAAUUUUGGACAAUGGGCGGAAGCCUGAUCCAGCCAUGCCGCGUGAGUGAAGAAGGCCUUC
rnacentral:rRNA from 1 species